CACCAGGUAAUAUGCAGUGGUUAUUCGUAGUUAUAGUUGCGGUGAGCAGUCGUGAGGGAGACGCCCCCAAAAGCUACGUGUUAGCUGAGGUUAAUGAGGACUAAAGACAAUUGUUUAAAUAUAAACAAAUAAGCAAAUUUAGUGAAUACUUGAGUGAAAUAUUUCGAUCAAUAAAUAAAAUUGCCCUUUAUCCUCUUUAUCCUCAAAGCUGUCUGUGUAGACGACACAGUGAGCGUUUUGAGGGACCACAUGGGCCCCGACAGUGGCUAAGGCUGCUAAGGCGAUCCACAUGCAGCAAACGAGGCAGUAAUAGCAAAUUCAGUACAGAACGCACCAAAUCAAAGGGAGGAGCAAGUUUGAUGUCCCCUCCAGGCCACCCAGGAAGUGUUGGUUCAGUUCAAAGACGUGCGGCGAAUCCAGGCGAAGGCAAGCAUGAAACAGAAAGUUCAAAGAGAGAUCAUGAACGGAUUUGAGUAACAUGCACCACUAAAAUAAAUAAAUAAAUU